rnacentral:rRNA from 1 species
AUGGAAAAAAUCCAGUGCAGACUACAGAAAAGAGCAUGUCCCCAUGACCUCCGUGGCUUCGUCGCCGCCGCCAGCCGAUGCAUCAACAAGCGGCACAUACCUCCCCUUUGCGUAUACAUGCAGUCAUCGGUCGUCGUGAAAUUUCAUAUGUUCUGGAAACUAUCUAACAGAAAGGUACCAUCAGAUCAGAUGCAAAUUGACCUUCCAAUCUGUGAAGAACUCUCUGGCCAGAUUUGCCAAUGGAAAAAGUCCAGUGCAGACUACAGGAAACAACAUGUCUCCAUGGCCUCCGUGGCUUCACCGCUGCCGCCAACCGAUGCAUCAACAAGCGGCACGUACCUCCGCUUUGCCUAUACAUGCAGUCAUCGGUUGUUUUGA